UACAUAAUACAUUUUCUUUUUUUUUUUGCAGAUAAGAUCACAAUGUCUCCUAUAUUUUGGUAUGGAAACGCCCCGUCAGCCUUCACUACAACAUGAUUAAAGACACAAACAAGUAUUUUCGGUUAAUCGUAGAGCUAUUGAUUCGUCAGUUGUUUAUCAUAGGUAAUCACGGGUUAUGCCGUAUCAAUGUCGGACACCUGCCACACAGAGAGUAUGCACCUUGUCAGAUCAAAGUGUUUCUGGUGCAUCACCUGAGGUUAAAUAACAGUGUGUGGUCUGAAUCAUGAAUGGAAACAAAACUGUCCAUUCCCCCACAGCCUGAGCAAUAUUCCACUAAUGUCAAUGUGUAGGUCUUCCAUCCUUCCACGAAGGCUAUUUUGAGCUGCAUGCACGACCCUAUCCUCUCCGUUACCAUGUGCAGUUUUGAUAUUGCAGAGCGACCUCCCACGUGAGUCAGGUCUUAGUCACCGGCCUCCCUCAUUUGGCCAACUCUGGGCUCUCUCGCCCGAGCGUGAGCUUCUCCCACUUGCUGGCGGACUGCAAUGCCUCCUAGAGCUGAGGGAAGACAGAUACCAGUGCAGACGAUAUGAGCCUCCGGUGCUUUGCAAAGACCUCAAGGACUGAAAUUUGGAAUGCUGCACAAAAUGAAGAAGAUGAAGAAAAGAAGGUCAGAAGAGACUGAAAUGGAUUUCGGUGAAGAUGUUUUACCUGCGAUCUUACACAGGAAACAGGUGGCCACUGGACAGCAACUGCUGGCGUCCUUCUUUUUAAAGAAAGGCAAGCAUAAUGAAUUCAAGCAUGGAUAUCACAGUGGAUAUUUAUUAAUGUUUAAACAGCCUGGGUGGCAAAAGAGUUAGUUUUGUGUGCAGCAUUGGUCCAAGAUGUUGUCAUGUUCACAGACUGUGUCGCCUGCUCUCUUUUUUUUUUUAUACCCAUGCUCCAUUUCUACCUUGUGUGAGUGUUCCCAAACCUUGGGUGGGGCACAAGAACCUCUGGGUGGGACUGUAAUUUCAAGUUGAUGCUGGCCUUUAAAGCCAUACAGAGAAUGUGUUCCCAGGAGCAGAAGGGGGCUGUGUAAUCGAAGAGGGUAGCAACUCUUUAUAAAUAGGCAAGAAGCAAGCUCGGGCUGAUGUCUCAGAAAUGCAGAUAGCUCUUCCACUUGAUAGGACAUGAAGAAAGAUAUAGAUAGACUCUAAGUGAUAGACAAGAGGAACACAACACAACUUAGUCCUCUAUUUAUUAAACUGGCUUUACUUCAAUGUCCCAGUGAUGACUGUAUCUCACAUUCCUCAGAACACCUAGAAGGUCCUCAAGUGAGUAUCUGUACACAAGCAUGUAAC
rnacentral:lncRNA from 1 species